rnacentral:rRNA from 1 species
GAUGAACGCUGGCGGCGUGCCUAAUACAUGCAAGUCGAGCGAACGGACGAGAAGCUUGCUUCUCUGAUGUUAGCGGCGGACGGGUGAGUAACACGUGGAUAACCUACCUAUAAGACUGGGAUAACUUCGGGAAACCGGAGCUAAUACCGGAUAAUAUUUUGAACCGCAUGGGUCAAAAGUGAAAGACGGUCUUGCUGUCACUUAUAGAUGGAUCCGGGCUGGAUUAGCUAGUUGGUAAGGUAACGGCUUACCAAGGCAACGAUGCAUAGCCGACGUGAGGGGGGGAUCGGCCACUCUGGAGGUGAGCGGCGACCCAGGCACCGACGGGAGGCACCAGUAGGGACGCUUCCGCGCUGGGCGAAAGCCUGACGGAGCAACGCAGCGUGGGUGAUGAAGGGCUGCGGGUCGUAAAACGCUGUUCUUAGGGAAGAACAUUUGUGUAAGUAACGGUGCACAUCUUGACGGUACCUAAUCAGAAAGCCACGGCUAACUACGU